UGCUUUUCACACUUCAAACAUGAUCCUUGGACCACAACCUGAUCAUGGACCCACAGGUGGGAGCUUAUAAAUUAAACCAAUUCAGCCAGCAAGACUUGCUGCUAGAGCUGCAUCUCUUGGCAUUGUAAUGGAUCCAGUAAUUUUCAGUAUGUUCCCACCACUAUGAACAUGUUUUCUAGUGCACCAUCAAAUCUCUGAGCUGCAGUUCCUACUAAGUUCCAACGCUUGUUUUGGAGCAGUAUUUGCUGUGGGAAAUUUCUGCUGCUUCCCCCAGCUUCCUUGAGGCAGGCAGCUCCAGAUCCUAAGCCAUGGAAAGUGGCCACCAGCUCUUCUUGUCACGGCUUUUCUCCGUGCCCAUCCUGCUGACGCAACUGGCUCCUCUCAUCAUGCUUCCUCUUCUUGGUGCCGUCUUCUGCAUGUUCCGAGUUGACAAUCUCUUCCCUGGAUGUUUCUUGCUUCUUGUCCCUUUUAUCCUCCUUCUUGGGCUCCUCCUUUGCCUCUUUCCACAAGUUCAGUCCACCGGAAUACUCGUCGUUCGCAGCACGGCAUAGACCAUGGCAAUGCAGAAGAAAAGAAAAGAUCAGGCGAUACAACUAGGAGCAGUGGUGCUCAUGAAGAAAUUACAUUAAUGCAGCUACAGCUCAAGAAUAGAUUGCAGCAUGGUAUGUUAUGUACACAAAAGAUGAACUAGAAGAAAUGGAUGAGCUUUCAGAGAACAAAGAAUUUCAUCCAGCGAUUCAUAUGUACUCUGAAAUAGAAAACUGCAUUAACUGUAUCUUUUUUUUUCUAAGUUUGAAAAGCCUACGAUCAUUUAUCUCACAUGAAAGGAGCUAAAAGCGAGGUUUUUAAGUUAACGACAGCUACGGUAGAUACUUAUAUACAUGAUAAUUCUAUCAAAUUCCCAUGAUUCUCACAUAGAAAAUCGGUUAU
rnacentral:lncRNA from 1 species